rnacentral:rRNA from 1 species
GGUAGCGAAAUUCCUUGUCGGGUAAGUUCCGACCUGCACGAAUGGCGUAACGAUCUCCGCGCUGUCUCGGCCAGAGACUCAGUGAAAUUGAAAUCUCGGUGAAGAUGCCGAGUACCCGCAGCAAGACGGAAAGACCCUGUGCACCUUUACUACAGCUUGACAUUGGACUUUGGGCUAUCAUGUGUAGGAUAGGUGGGAGGCUGUGAAGCCGGUACGCCAGUAUCGGUGGAGCCGUCCUUGAAAUACCACCCUUGGUAGUCUAGGGUUCUAACCCAGAGCCGUGAAUCCGGUCUGGGGACAGUGUCUGGUGGGUAGUUUGACUGGGGCGGUCGCCUCCCAAAGAGUAACGGAGGCGUGCAAAGGUUCCCUCAGGCUGAUUGGAAACCAGCCGUUGAGUGCAAAGGCAUAAGGGAGCUUGACUGUGAGAGAGACAUCUCGAGCAGGGACGAAAGUCGGCCUUAGUGAUCCGGUGGUUCCGCAUGGAAGGGCCAUCGCUCAUCGGAUAAAAGGUACGCCGGGGAUAACAGGCUGAUCGCGUCCAAGAGUUCACAUCGACGACGCGGUUUGGCACCUCGAUGUCGGCUCAUCACAUCCUGGGGCUGGAGCAGGUCCCAAGGGUACGGCUGUUCGCCGUUUAAAGUGGUACGCGAGCUGGGUUUAAAACGUCGUGAGACAGUUUGGUCCCUAUCUGCUGUGGGCGUAGGAGACUUGAGAGGGCCUGCCCCUAGUACGAGAGGACCGGGGUGGACGAUCCUCUGGUGGACCUGUUGUCGCGCCAGCGGCACAGCAGGGUAGCUAUGAUCGGAAGGGAUAACCGCUGAAGGCAUCUAAGCGGGAAGCCUGCCUCAAGAUAAGGUCUCCCUCUGAGCACCUAAAUCAGGUGCUUGGCUGAAGGACCCUGGAAGACGACCAGGUAGAUAGGCCGGAAGUGUAAGUGCAGUGAUGCAUUUAGCUGACCGGUACUAAUAGUCCGUGAGUCUUAACCCU